CAAAAAUUGUGAUUCGUCAAUUAAGGAAGUAUCUCAAAGAACAACAUAGGAGGACCUCAAGAAUCUUCCUGGUAUAGUCUUAUGGCAAAUGCUGUCUCAUUUUUCCAUAAAGUACAGCCUUCCAGUAGUCAGUGAAGUUGAAUUGACCCCAAAGUGGCAUCAGACAUUUGAUGUAAUGAUUUGGAAGAGAAGAAUUAGGAGGGUGGAAUUACUGAGGCAUAGCUUAACAAUGGUAGUGAUAAACCAUAUUGAACUGGUUAAAACAUUUCAAUUGCUGGAACAGCAAAACAAAUGGUGCUUAAGAGCAUAAGAGAAAAUCAGAGUUUCUCCAUAAGGUCAUUCAGUUUCUUUUAUAGUCUCUGUUUGCUUUCUUCCCAUAAACUUAUUUAUAUCUGUAGAGGAAAAAACAAAUAUGUUUAUUUUUAUUCAAGCUCUUUAAGCCCUUAUGAGCUUGCCUAGAGCAGCUAAGUCAGCUCUAUUUGUACGUCUGUGGUAAAGGUCUGAUAUAUUUUCUCUGGCUGUAUUUUUCUUUUACUGUGUUUCCCUGGAAAGAUUCACCCUUUGAAGAAUUUAUCUCCCACUGAUUGGUUCUCUGGCUGACUGCUGUUGCCUGCUCUGAAGUUGACCUCAUGAUUUGCAAUGCAUUCUGAGGUUGCCCUUUGCUGUUGGUGUGCUUCCCACCUACACAGGCCCUGAUCAGCCCACCAAGCCAAUUGCCACUACUCAUGAGUCUAUAUAUGUAUUCCCAUCUUGUGUGGCUUCCCUUUCUCCACAAAGUAGAUGGCUAGGUGCAGAGAAGUGACUUUGUACUAUCUCUUGAGGUCCUUGCUAAGAUUCUAAAUCCUGCAGGUUUAGAAAGUAUACUGUCUUUCUUCUCUUAUGGACCCAGUAUGUCCUUGGCUUGGUUAUGCUGAAAGUUAACCUUAGCUAUUGGUCAAGUGACCUGAUUGGGAGAUAGGGAUAUAUCCUGAAAGAAGCAAACAUUAUCUUUCAGAGGGAGACCUCUGCAUUUUCUUCUUGCAAAAGUAGAGUGUGUUAGCUGUUGAUAGUGGGGGUGCACUUUUUCAGCCUUAUAGGCUGUCUGGGAUCUAAGGAUUUAGGAUUUUUGUUGAUCUCUACUUUAGAUAGUUAUCUAAAGUAUCUGUGUGAAGGUCCUAUUCUCUCCUAGCCCGGGUCCUAAUCUUGGCAUGGAAGAUCUGUUUUUAAUUAGAAACUGAAAUGAGGGCUCAAAUACAGCCUCAGCCAACACCAGAGAGAGCGUGUAGGCUGAAAUGACCCUUCAUAAAUGUCUUGAGCUUGGCCAAGAUGAUCAGAUAUUUGUACUCCUGCGUUGAUCAAGCAUUGGAUAUAGGUCUAGGGAAAGGGCAUUACCUUGGAUGAAAACUCUCCAGUGGAGGCAAUUUUUUAAAAAAGUU